rnacentral:rRNA from 1 species
UACGAAGGGGGCUAGCGUUGUUCGGAAUCACUGGGCGUAAAGCGCACGUAGGCGGGUCGUUAAGUCGGGGGUGAAAUGCCAAGGCUCAACCUUGGAACUGCCUUCGAUACUGGCGACCUCGAGUCCGGGAGAGGUGAGUGGAACUCCGAGUGUAGAGGUGAAAUUCGUAGAUAUUCGGAAGAACACCGGUGGCGAAGGCGGCUCACUGGCCCGGUACUGACGCUGAGGUGCGAAAGCGUGGGGAGCAAACAGG